CCGCGAUUCGCCCUUCGGGGUGCAGCAGGCGCGAAAACUUUACAAUGCGGGAAACCGUGAUAAGGGGACACCGAGUGCCAGCAUUAUAUGCUGGCUGUCCGGGUGUGUAAAAUACACCCGUUAGCAAGGGCCGGGCAAGACCGGUGCCAGCCGCCGCGGUAACACCGGCGGCCCGAGUGGUGAUCGUGAUUAUUGGGUCUAAAGGGUCCGUAGCCGGUUUGGUCAGUCCUCCGGGAAAUCUGACGGCUCAACCGUUAGGCUUUCGGGGGAUACUGCCAGGCUUGGAACCGGGAGAGGUAAGAGGUACUACAGGGGUAGGAGUGAAAUCUUGUAAUCCCUGUGAGACCACCUGUGGCGAAGGCGUCUUACCAGAACGGGUUCGACGGUGAGGGACGAAAGCUGGGGGCACGAACCGGAUUAGAUACCCGGGUAGUCCCAGCCGUAAACGAUGCUCGCUAGGUGUCAGGCAUGGCGCGACCGUGUCUGGUGCCGCAGGGAAGCCGUGAAGCGAGCCACCUGGGAAGUACGGCCGCAAGGCUGAAACUUAAAGGAAUUGGCGGGGGAGCAC
rnacentral:rRNA from 1 species